rnacentral:rRNA from 1 species
CCUACGGGAGGCAGCAGUGAGGAAUAUUGGUCAAUGGACGAGAGUCUGAACCAGCCAAGUAGCGUGAAGGAUGACUGCCCUAUGGGUUGUAAACUUCUUUUAUAUGGGAAUAAAACGUUCCACGUGUGGGAUUGUGUAUGUACCAUAUGAAUAAGGAUCGGCUAACUCCGUGCCAGCAGCCGCGGUAAUACGGAGGAUCCGAGCGUUAUCCGGAUUUAUUGGGUUUAAAGGGAGCGUAGGUGGAUUGUUAAGUCAGUUGUGAAAGUUUGCGGCUCAACCGUAAAAUUGCAGUUGAAACUGGCAGUCUUGAGUACAGUAGCGGUGUGCGGACUUCGUGGUGUAGCUGU